AUGCAUUGUUCUAUCUGUCAAAUGGACAUACGCAACCGCAGCGAUGAAGCAUACUUAGCCUGGUUGAAAGAGGUGCGUAGGGUGGCACAUGGGAUGGAGGAUAUGGUGGAUCAGUACUUGUAUCUAGUUGGUCAGGAACAUGACACAACAGGGUGCUUCUUUUACCUGAAGAAAGGGUUCAAAAAACCAAAAUCUAUGUUUUCUUUGAGCACCAUAGCAUCCAAGGUGAAGGAAAUAGAGAGAGACCUGACACACCUAUCUCAAACAAAAGACCGAUGGGUUCCCAUGACGAACAGUGGGGACUCCAGGUACAUUGUCCAGAUGUCCCAAGAACUGGCAAGCAAUUCACUUUCUCUUGGUGAAGAAGGUCUUGUUGGCAAUGAAGAUAACAAGCAAAAACUUGUACAGUGGUUGGAAGAUGAUGAAUUGGCACGGUCUAUAAUAGUUCUGCAUGGCAUGGGAGGGCUCGGGAAAACCGUCCUCGCAGCAACUGUCUAUAAGAAAGAGCGAGAGAAAUAUAAUUGCCAUGCAUGGGUCUCCAUCUCACAAACUUACACCAAAGAGGAUGUUCUUAGGAGAUUGAUCAUUGAUCUUAUGGGCAAAGAGAAUGUUCCUGCUGCGUUCGCCACCAUGGAUUUCGCAGCCAUUCAAGAGACACUGAAGAGGCACUUGGAACAGAAGAAAUAUCUCAUUAUAUUUGAUGAUGUUUGGACUCCAGAAGCAUACACUGAUCUAUUUGGAGCACUCACUGAAAAUCGCAAUGGGAGCAGAAUAAUAAUCACGACACGAAAUUCUGAUGUAGCUCACCUUGCUACUCCAAAUAGGAUACUCGUAUUGGAGCCCUUGUCAAAGGAUGAGUCAUGGGUACUCUUUUGUAAGAAGGCUUUUCCAAAUCAUAAAUGUCCUCCAGAAUUGAAGACUUUGUCAGAACAGAUAUUGUGGAAGUGUGAAGGCUUACCUCUUGCGAUUGUCUCUGUUGGCAGUCUCUUGUUUGUGCGUGACAAGACUAUGGAUGAAUGGAGGCGGAUAAAUAAUCAGCUCAGCUGGGAGCUAAUUAAUAAUCCGAUGCUUGAUCAUGUAAGGAAUAUUUUGCAUCUGAGCUUCAUCUACCUUCCACCAUAUUUGAAGAGCUGUUUCCUAUUCUGCAGCUUAUUUCCAGAGGACUAUCUUCUCAAAAGGAAAAGCUUGAUCCGACUGUUGGUAACAGAAGGGUUCAUUGUAGAGAGGGGUGGAAGUUGCACAAUGGAGGAAGUGGCCGAAGGCUAUUUAAAUGAGUUGGUUCAGAGAAACAUGCUACAGCUUAUUGAGAGAAACUCACUUGGUAGGAUAAAGCUCCUUAGAAUGCAUGAUGUUGUACGUGAGCUGGCGAUAGAUUUGUGUCACAGAGAAUGCUUUGGUGUUACAUCUGAGGAUUACAGAGGUGGGAGAUUAGUCAACGGCAUCAGCGGUGGACGUCGGCUAGUAGUCCACAAACUCAGUAAUACGACUAAUGAGUUGAUUUCAAGCAUGCACCACCUUCGAUCUGUUAUUGUAUUGGACAACAUGAUGCAGAUGUCACAACCACAAUCCAUGCUACUACUAGCUUCAGUGUUAUGCAAUUCUAGAUAUAUCACUGUACUAGAAUUAAAUGGGUUACCUAUUGAGCAGCUUCCAGAUGCAAUUGGGGAUUUGUUCAAUCUACGUCACUUGUCAUUGCGUAACUCAAGGGUAAAGUUCCUCCCCAGGUCCAUCGAGAAUCUUGUCAACUUGAUGAUACUGGAUCUAUUUAAUUCUGACAUACAGAAGUUGCCUCGAGGGAUUGCCAAACUCAAGAAGCUUAGGCACUUGUAUGCUGAGAAAAUUUGUGGUCUCUUCGAGAGAAAAUUCCCGAGUCGUAUCGCCCUGCGUUUCCCCAAGGAUGGUUUAUGCAAUCUCACAAAUCUACAGACACUGGUGGCAGUAGGAGCUGAUGAUUGCACUAUGCAUCUGUGGAAGCUUACGCAGAUGAGGACCAUUCGGUUAUGGGAUGUGAAGGGGGUCCAGUGCGAACAGCUCUGCGCAUCACUGGCUGAGAUGCAAUUCCUGUCCAGUUUAGCCAUUCAUGCAGUUGAUGAACAUCAGGUUCUCCAGUUAGACGGCCUUAAUCCACCGCCUUCUCAGCUCCAGAAGAUUUGUAUUCUUGGACGAUUGGCCGCAGGGACAAUAGAGCACUCCCCCCUCUUCCAAUUAAACUUGACGGAACUGUCUCUUCAUUGGACACAGUUGACAGAAAGUCCUGUGCCUUCCAUUACUACAAUGUCAAACUUUACAGUGUUUUGGCUUAACAGAGCAUUCAAUGGAGAGGAAUUGACUUUUCUCCCUGGAUGGUUUCCAAAGUUGAAGACCCUCUACUUGCAGGACCUGCCUAACCUCAAGAGUCUAGUGUUGCAUGAAGGCACCAUGGUGAACCUGGAAACCUUUUGGUUAGCACAACUUGAUAGAAUGUAUGGAAUGCGCUGGCAGUAUACCUUGCAACAAUGA
rnacentral:rRNA from 1 species